GGCGAACGGGUGAGUAACGCGUUGGUGACCUGCCCCGAAGUGUGGGAUAACAGCUCGAAAGGGCUGCUAAUACCGCAUGUGGCUUUGGGUUUUAGAACCCCAUUUCUAAAGGCUAACGUUUCGCAAGAAACGCAGUCGCUUCGGGAGGGGCCUGCGUCCCAUCAGCUGGUUGGUAAGGUAACGGCUUACCAAGGCGACGACGGGUAGGGGACCUGAGAGGGUGACCCCCCACACUGGCACUGAAACACGGGCCAGACACCUACGGGUGGCAGCAGUAGGGAAUCUUGCACAAUGGGCGCAAGCCUGAUGCAGCAACGCCGCGUGCGCGAUGAAGGCCUUCGGGUCGUAAAGCGCUUUUCUGGAGGACGAGAGCGGACGGUACUCCAGGAAGAAGGCUCGGCUAACUACGUGCCAGCAGCCGCGGUAAAACGUAGGAGCCUAGCGUUAUCCGAAUUUACUGGGCGUAAAGCGCGUGCAGGCGGCUUGGUAAGUUGGCUGUGAAAUCUCCCGGCUCAACUGGGAGGGGACGGUCAAGACUGCCAGGCUGGAGGCAGGGAGAGGGAGGUGGAAUUCCCGGUGUAGUGGUGAAAUGCGUAGAGAUCGGGAGGAACACCAGUGGCGAAAGCGGCCUCCUGGCCCUGACCUGACGCUGAGACGCGAAAGCUAGGGGAGCGAACGGGAUUAGAAACCCCGGUAGUCC
rnacentral:rRNA from 1 species